AUCCCAAAAUUACAUUCAGUAACCAUGGUACUCACCCGAAACUAAUUUGGUCUUCAUUAUAUUGAUCCUAACGCUAAGGCUGGAGAUUUAGAAUAUCCAAAUGAGGUGACCAGUCGCCACAAGGAUCAACGUGGUAAAGACCAAAAUCUUGACGAUCCUAUAAAUGAAGACAAUGAAGUAGGAGAAAUGAGUUCUGAUGAUGCUGAAGAUGAUCCCCAAGACACGUUUACUGGCAGUGGUGCUGAGAAGAAAGACAAUCUAGACGAGUCAGACCAUGUGAUCAUUGUAAUACCCUAAGGUUUAAUAACCAGAUUAUCAACCCUAACUAGGUUAAUUAUGUAUUAAUGAGAAAUUAUAUUAUUAUAUGAUUUAAUAUGUGAAACUGUUAUGAUUUAUUAUAUUUUAAGACUCCUUUGGUGUGCUAGGAGCAUUUUCGUAAUUUUGACUCGAGAAGGAUAAAAUCAUAAUUUUAUGAUAUACGGUCCUUAUGGACUAUAUUAUUAUAUAGUAUAUUUUCUCUGUCUAUCUGUAGGUAUUUUCUGACAAGUCGGCGCGGUAUAGUCACAACCGAGUAUUUUGGGCUGAAUUGGGUUCAGGGCCUAAAAUACAUUGUUAGAAUUUAUUUAUGGUAUUUAUUUGAUAAAUGAAAAAAUAUGAUUAUUGUGAUAUGUGUGUGUGUGAGCAGAAUGACAAAAUUACCAUUGUUUAUAUGUGUAUGGUAAUAUAUGGCCUUAGGGGUAUUUUGGUCAUUUGACCACAUAAUUCUAUUUCAACAAAAAAAAAUUAAUUUUUCAUUUAUUUUUCUGGGUUUUGAACCUCUUAGCCGACCCCUCUCUCUCUCUCUCUCUCUCUCUUUCACCCUCUCUAUUCGUGAUUUCAACCAAUUUUGAAGAAAAGGCUUGAUUUUGGUAUAGGUGUGUGGAGAUUCUUAUGCUUGGAGCUUAAGGACUUUGGGAACACUUGAGGAUUUGGAAUCUCCACAUACUAGGAUUAUCAGGUAAGACAGUAAACUAACACAUAGAGAUUAGCGUUGUGGCGCCCAUGUAUGUUAUUAUGUGUAUGAUAUGUGAGAAAUCAAAAUUAGGGUUAUUAUCCUAAAUUAAACAAUUAUGCGAUCUAGGGUUAUUACUCUAGUAUUUAAGUGAUUAUGAAUGCAAUAUUAUACUGUAUAUGUUGAGAUAAAGAAUUAUGCGCGUAAGACAUAAUUAGGUUAGACUCAGUAAUUAAAACCGAGAUAAACCAUUCUAAGGCCUUAUUGUAAAUAGACGUGUGAAGGUAACACAUAGGUCUAUGUCAAAUAGACGAUAGGUGCAGUGACAUCAGUAAUUAUGUGAUUUCUAAUUAUUAUGCAUAUUAUUAUUUAUAC